AGGAGUGUGUAACAACUCACCUGCCGAAGCAACUAGCCCCGAAAAUGGAUGGCGCUCUAGUGUCGAGCCUAUCCCCGGCCGCUGCCGGCAGAUGCACGCAAACAAGGGGGUGCUAAGCUGCAGCGAGUAGGAGGGCCGCUGCGGUGAGCGUUGAAGGUGUCGGGCGUAAGCCCGCCUGGAGCCGCCGCUGGUGCAGAUCUUGGUGGUAGUAGCAAAUACUCAAGUGAGAACCUUGAGGACUGAAGUGGAGAAGGGUUCCAUGUGAACAGCAGUUGAACAUGGGUCAGUCGGUCCUAAGGGAAAGGAGAAGUUCUUUCCGAAGCGGGAGCACUUUUUUGCAGUGGAGAGAGCCCCGCAGUGACCGAAAGGGAAUCGGGUUAAUAAUCCCGAACCCGGACACGGAGAUUGGUCCUUCGGGGCCCAGUGCGGUAACGCAAACCAGCUCGGAGACGCCGAUGCGAGCCCCGGGAAGAGUUUUCUUUUCUCUGUAAGGAGAUCGAGUCCCUGGAAUGGGUUCGCCCCGAGAUAGGGAUGGUGGCUCCGUAGAGCAGUGCGGUUCUUGCGCUGUCCGGUGCGCUCGCGUCGGCCCUUGAAAAUCCGAGUGAGGGAGUGUGAUUUUCGUGCCGGACCGUACCCACAUCCGCAGCAGGUCUCCAAGGUGAACAGCCUCUAGUCGAUGGACCAAUGUAGGUAAGGGAAGUCGGCAAAACGGAUCCGUAACCUUGGGAUAAGGAUUGGCUCUGAGGACUGAGCCGGUCGGGCUGGGGACCUGAAGCAGGAACGGCACUGCACCGGGACUGGGCGGGGCUCGCCGUUCACGCGGCGCGGCCAAGCCCGGACCAGCGUCGGGACCUUCCUGUGGAAAGCCUCAGCUGCGCGGCGUCUGAGGGCUUCGUGCCCAAAGUGCUAUGCUUCGGCCGGCAAAAAACAGUCAACUCAGAACUGGCACGGACCGGGGGAAUCCGACUGUCUAAUAAAACAAAGCAUGCGAUGCGCUGUCGUGUGACGCAUGUGAUUCUGC
rnacentral:ncRNA from 1 species